rnacentral:rRNA from 1 species
AGCGAACGCUGGCGGCAGGCUUAACACAUGCAAGUCGAGCGCCCCGCAAGGGGAGCGGCAGACGGGUGAGUAACGCGUGGGAACGUACCCUUUGCUACGGAAUAGCUCCGGGAAACUGGAAUUAAUACCGUAUGUGCCCUACGGGGGAAAGAUUUAUCGGCAAAGGAUCGGCCCGCGUUGGAUUAGCUAGUUGGUGGGGUAAUGGCCUACCAAGGCGACGAUCCAUAGCUGGUCUGAGAGGAUGAUCAGCCACAUUGGGACUGAGACACGGCCCAAACUCCUACAGGAGGCAGCAGUGGGGAAUAUUGGACAAUGGGCGCAAGCUUGAUCCAGCCAUGCCGCGUGAGUGAUGAAGGCCUUAGGGUUGUAAAGCUCUUUCACCGGAGAAGAUAAUGACGGUAUCCGGAGAAGAAGCCCCGGCUAACUUCGUGCCAGCCGCCGCAGUAAGAC